UACGGAGGGAGCUAGCGUUAUUCGGAAUUACUGGGCGUAAAGCGCACGUAGGCGCUUGUAAGGUUAGAGGUGAAAGCCUGGAGCUCAACUCCAGAAUUGCCUUUAAGACUGCAUCGCUUGAAUCCAGGAGAGGUGAGUGGAAUUCCGAAGUGUAGAGGUGAAAUUCGAUAGAUAUUCGCAAGAACACCAGUGGCGAAGGCGACUGCCUGGACGAACAUUGAACGCGUGAGGUGGCG
rnacentral:rRNA from 1 species